GUGAAGCUGGAUUCGCUAGUAAUCGCGCAUCAGCCAUGGCGCGGUGAAUACGUUCCCGGGCCUUGUACACACCGCCCGUCAAGCCAUGGAAGCCGGGAGUGCCUGAAGUAUGCAACCGCAAGGAGCGUCCUAAGGUAAAACCGGUGACUGGGGCUAAGUCGUAACAAGGUAUC
rnacentral:rRNA from 1 species